AGGGCACCACCAGGAGUGGAGCCUGCGGCUUAAUUUGACUCAACACGGGGAAACUCACCCGGCCCGGACACCGUAAGGAUUGACAGAUUGGUAGCUUUUUCAUGAUUCGGUGGAUGGUGGUGCAUGGCCGUUCUUAGUUCGUGGAGCGAUUUGUCUGGUUUAUUCCGAUAACGAGCGAGACUCUAGCCUACUAAAUAGUUCGCACAUUGUCUCUGUGUGUGUGACUUCUUAGAGGGAUUUUCGGUGUUCAGCCGCACGAAAUUGAGCAAUAACAGGUCUGUGAUGCCCUUAGAUGUCCGGGGCUGCACGCGCGCUACACUGGCAAAAUCGGCGUGCUUGUCCUUCCCCGAAAGGGGUUGGUAAACCCUUGAAAAUUUGCCGUGAUUGGGAUUGGAAAUUGCAAUUAUUUUCCAUGAACGAGGAAUUCCAAGUAAGUGCGAGUCAUCAGCUCGCGUUGAUUACGUCCCUGCCCUUUGUACACACCGCCCGUCGCUGCCCGGGACUGAGCCAUUUCGAGAA
rnacentral:rRNA from 1 species